UAGUCCACGCCGUAAACGAUGAGUGCUAGUCGUUGGAGUUUAACUUCAGUGAUACAGCUAACGCGUUAAGCACUCCGCCUGGGGAGUACGGCCGCAAGGCUAAAACUCAAAGGAAUUGACGGGGACCCGCACAAGCGGUGGAGCAUGUGGUUUAAUUCGAUGCAACGCGAAGAACCUUACCACCCCUUAACAUCCCGAUCGCGGAGAGUAGAAAUAUUCUUCUUCAGUUAGGCUGGAUCGGUGAUAGGUGUUGCAUGGCUGUCGUCAGCUCGUGUCGUGAGAUGUUGGGUUAAGUCCCGCAACGAGCGCAACCCUUGUCUUUAGUUGCCAUCAUUAAGUUGGGCACUUUAAAGAGACUGCCGGUGUCAAACCGGAGGAAGGUAAGGAUGACGUCAAGUCAGCAUGCCCCUUAUGCUCUGGGCUACACACGUGCUACAAUGGCCGUGACAAAGAGUUGCUACUUUGUGAAAACAAGCUAAUCUCAUAAACGCGGCCUCAGUUCGGAUUGC
rnacentral:rRNA from 1 species